ACUGGAGGUCAGAAUUAACACUGCAUGAGAGUCAAGCUUCAGACUUGGACGCUGAUUUGGCAGAGGGCAGUGUCUCUGUGCAAGUCAGGACUGGGUUAUUUUUAAACUUUAGGUAUGAAACACAAAGAGGAGGUGAAUAACAAUGAGAUGUAAUCUCCAUUACACUUUACUAAAUGCAUGACAACCACUGACCAAAACCUGGUUCAGUGGAGAGAUGAAUACAAAUUUUAAUAGCUCAUAAAACACAUUGAUUCCACUCAGUGAAGUUUUUUGUAACUGCAUUAUUCCUAAAGACUCUUUUUUUCAUGAUGGCUGAAAAGCUUUUCACCAUGGCCUCUGCUGAAACUCCAUCAGGACCAGAGAGAAGAGUAGAAAAUGGGGCGAGCCAUGAAUGUAGUGGCAUGAUUGAGGGCUUGGUGUCACAUUCAGAGUUGAAGUCUGCUCCUGUCUGAGAGACAGAAGAUCUGGGAGGCUAUUUCUCAGGCUGGGCCAUGAGCUUGUUGUCUGCUCUGAGAAUUGGAGGAGUUGCUGCUUCCGCAGAGGAAAGACCCAGCAACGGUCACAACACACCACAGCCCUACUCCAUGACAGCCCAUACAUCCGUAUGUGGCAACACACACACACACACACACACACACACACACACACACACACACACACACAAACCCCACACUGCUGUACUCUGACAAUUGCCCUGCAUACCACCAGCUACCAAGUCACCAGAAACCAUGAGAGAUUUAGUAGUGUAAGUCAUACAUUGCUUGAUUAAUUACAAGAAGCUCUGCAUCUGUUCUGUUAUGCAUCUGAUACUGAAACAAAAGAGCUAA